rnacentral:rRNA from 1 species
AUGGACGAAAGUCUGACGGAGCAACGCCGCGUGUAUGAUGAAGGUCUUCGGAUUGUAAAGUACUGUCUUUGGGGAAGAACGGUGGCUUUGAAAAUAUUGAGGCCACAUGACGGUACCCAAGGAGGAAGCCCCGGCUAACUACGUGCCAGCAGCCGCGGUAAUACGUAGGGGGCAAGCGUUGUCCGGAAUUAUUGGGCGUAAAGGGCGCGUAGGCGGAUUGUUAAGUCCGGUGUGAAAGAUCAGGGCUCAACCCUGAGAGUGCAUCGGAAACUGGGAAUCUUGAGGACAGGAGAGGAAAGUGGAAUUCCACGUGUAGCGGUGAAAUGCGUAGAUAUGUGGAGGAACACCGGUGGCGAAGGCGACUUUCUGGACUGUAACUGACGCUGAGGCGCGAAAGCGUGGGGAGCAAACAGGAUUAGAUACCCUGGUAGUCCACGCCGUAAACGAUGAGUGCUAGGUGUAGAGGGUAUCGACCCCUUCUGUGCCGCAGUUAACACAAUAAGCACUCCGCCUGGGGAGUACG